UCAGAAACGGAGACAGUCAUCAGAGAUCUCUGUUAGCCUUUCUUUUAAGAUAGUGUCUGGAAUCUGUGUCCAUGGGACACUGGGAGCAGCUUCACCUACCUCAUCCCAGGAGCCAAGGAUAGAAGAAGCCAUGGAAGAGGAUAAUAGGGCCUUGAAGAGAUCCUGCAGAAUUUGGUUUAGGAGUGAACAUGACUACGUGGGAAGAAGAAGAGGGAAGAUUCACGCCCAGAAAACUUGAUUCUUACCUCGUACCAGUUUUAUGUCGUGUUACUUCGUUGAACAUGCUGGGAUUGAG